rfam:Listeria floridensis FSL S10-1187 c18, whole genome shotgun sequence.
GGGUUAUUAGCUCAGUUGGUAGAGCAGCUGACUCUUAAUCAGCGGGUCGGGGGUUCGAACCCUCAUAACCCA